rnacentral:rRNA from 1 species
AAAGACCCCGUGAACCUUUACUAUAGCUUGACACUGAACAUUGAGCCUUGAUGUGUAGGAUAGGUGGGAGGCUUUGAAGCGUGGACGCCAGUCUGCGUGGAGCCGACCUUGAAAUACCACCCUUUAAUGUUUGAUGUUCUAACGUGGACCCGUGAUCCGGGUUGCGGACAGUGUCUGGUGGGUAGUUUGACUGGGGCGGUCUCCUCCUAAAGAGUAACGGAGGAGCACGAAGGUUGGCUAAUCCUGGUCGGACAUCAGGAGGUUAGUGCAAUGGCAUAAGCCAGCUUGACUGCGAGCGUGACGGCGCGAGCAGGUGCGAAAGCAGGUCAUAGUGAUCCGGUGGUUCUGAAUGGAAGGGCCAUCGCUCAACGGAUAAAAGGUACUCCGGGGAUAACAGGCUGAUACCGCCCAAGAGUUCAUAUCGACGGCGGUGUUUGGCACCUCGAUGUCGGCUCAUCACAUCCUGGGGCUGAAGUAGGUCCCAAGGGUAUGGCUGUUCGCCAUUUAAAGUGGUACGCGAGCUGGGUUUAGAACGUCGUGAGACAGUUCGGUCCCUAUCUGCCGUGGGCGCUGGAGAACUGAGGGGGGCUGCUCCUAGUACGAGAGGACCGGAGUGGACGCAUCACUGGUGUUCGGGUUGUCAUGCCAAUGGCACUGCCCGGUAGCUAAAUGCGGAAGAGAUAAGUGCUGAAAGCAUCUAAGCACGAAACUUGCCCCGAGAUGAGUUCUCCCUGAGAC